GACGAACGCUGGCGGCGUGCUUAACACAUGCAAGUCGAACGGAAAGGCCUGCUUUCCCUUGUGGAUUGUGGGUACUCGAGUGGCGAACGGGUGAGUAACACGUGAGUGAUCUGCCCCCAACUUGGGUAUAAGCCUGGGGAACUGGGUCUAAUUCCCGAUAGGACUGCAGGGUGGUGCCUGUGGUGGAAAACGAUUUUCUAGUGGUUGGGGAUGAGCUCGCGGCCUAUCAGCUUGUUGGUGGGGUAAUGGCCUACCAAGGCGGCGACGGGUAGCCGGCCUGAGAGGGUGGACGGCCACAUUGGGACUGAGAUACGGCCCAGACUCCUACGGGAGGCAGCAGUGGGGAAUAUUGCACAAUGGGCGGAAGCCUGAUGCAGCGACGCCGCGUGGGGGAUGACGGCCUUCGGGUUGUAAACUCCUUUCGACCGCGAGGAAGCCACCUGGUUGGAAGGGUGGUGACGGUAGUGGUAGAAGAAGCACCGGCUAACUACGUG
rnacentral:rRNA from 1 species